rnacentral:rRNA from 1 species
CACGCGAAGACCUUACUGCCUUGACAUGUGAGACUUCCAGAGAUGGAUUGGUGCUUCGGAACUCAGACACAGGUGCUGCAUGCUGUCGUCAGCUCGUGUCGUAGAUGUUGGGUUAAGUCCCGUAACGAGCGCAACCCUUGUCGUUAGUUACCAGCACCUCGGGUGGGCACUCUAAGGAGACUGCCGGUGACAACCGGAGGAAGGUGGGGAUGACGUCAAGUCAUCAUGGCCCUUACGGCCAGGGCUACACACGUGCUACAAUGGUCGGUACAAAGGGUUGUCAAGCCGCGAGGUGGAGCUAAUCCCAUAAAACCGAUCGUAGUCCGGAUCGCAGUCUGCAACUCGACUGCGUGAAGUCGGAACGCUAGUAAUCGUGAAUCAGAAUGUCCCGGUGAAUACGUUCCCGGGCCUUGUACUCACCGUCCGUCAGAUGAUGGGAGUGGGUUGCUCCAGAAGUAGCUAGUCUAACCGCAAGGGGGACGCGUUGCCACGGAGUGAUUCAGUGACUGGGGUGAAGUCGUAACAAGUUAUCCAAA